rnacentral:misc_RNA from 1 species
GUGAACGCCCUCACGGGCUUAUACUAUUCCAAACCUCUGUGAACCGUGCCCUUCGGGGCUAUUUUACAAACAUGGUGUAAUGAACGUCAUAUAUCAUAACAAACA